UUCUGGUGGCCUAGUGAUUAGAGCGUCCACCUCGUAUGCGGAAGGUCGUGGGUUAGAUCCCGGUCGAGUCAU